UUGCUUCUAAAAAGAUUGCUUCUAAAAAGCUUAUCAAAAUUGGCAGGCUUAUUGCUUUUGUGUGAGUAAUCCAAAGUUAAAGCAAAUUAAUGGCAAAAAAACAGUUCAAAUGCUAAAUACUAAGGAGUCAAAAUUCCUUGCAAAGUGAUUUUUACAGCGUCCAUUUGGUUGAUAUAAAUUCCAAAUGCUCAUAGACGUCAAUGCCUAUAUGAAACUAUCGGUUCAAUCAUAUCGCUUUGAGUUAUAUAGAUUUUGUAAUCCCUCUUUUGAUCGUUUUAAACGCUUUAUCCUGAUUUAGGGGCCGUAGCUCAGCUGGGAGAGCACCUGCUUUGCAAGCAGGGGG
rnacentral:misc_RNA from 1 species